rnacentral:lncRNA from 1 species
UUAAAAUCCUGCAGUUCAAAUCUGAGUGAUAUUUGAAAGGUCCAGCCUGACCCUCUCUAAGUCUGCCUUUUAAUUAACCAGGCUUUUUAUAGCACACUGUGUUCUCCUCCCUGCCAGGGCAACUUGCAGGACUUCUCCAGGUGAGAAUUCCAGAAGCACCUUCACUAGGAUGUUCUGGAUGCAGCAGGAUGGUAACACUCCAGCACAGUAUUGCCAGUACCUGCAUCAGAAGUUGUGUCUGUCACUUAAAUGCACUGAAACAAAGUCUGGUGUGUUCUCUGCCUUCCUGGAUGCCAGAAUGGAGUUCUCUCUGUACCAUAAGCUGAAUGGCAAAAAGAAUCCAGGUGAGUGUUCAGGAAAUGAAGUCUCUUGCCAGACCCAGGUCUAAAACAAUGAAUUCACCAAAUGAGUAAUUUUAAAUCAGCAUCAUUCAGCACCAUUCUUUCCUCCUCUAAUGAGGAUCUGUAAAUAAGAGCAACUGGAGGUUUUAAACUACUGUGCCAUAACUUUGAUUCAAUGAUCUUCGAGGGCUUUUCCAGCCUUAACAAGAGUGUUUCUAUAACUACUGGAAAAAAUCUUGCUCCUUUACUGUGAAGUUAUAAAUGUAUUCGUUUCCAUCAUCAACAGAAAUGUGUCAGAUGCCAAAGGUCUUUUCAUUGUUUUCAGAUUUUCCUUUCCUUGCACUGAUCAGAUUCUCUCCUGCAGAGAUAACAACCACACAAUAGCCCAGCAAAGGAUGGCUGGGUAGGAAUAAGACACCACAGCGAUGGUCAGAUCCAAGUCCAGGACACUGAACUCCAGGCAAGCAGAUUUUAUUUAACAUGGUGGCACCUAAAAUUCAUCUGCACAUCCCAUUCCUCUGACUUCCAGUGCAGGGCUGGGGGCAUUUGCAGAUCCAGAACAUCCUCUUAGCUGGACAAGCAGUGAUGGUUUCUGUCAGCUGCAGCUCAGAGCAGUUGUGUUUGCAAACACUGCACACACACAGGCCCAUUAGGUAUCUACUGUAUUUGUGCAUAGGAAUAACACCCACAUUUCUUUAGUUCUGUCUCCUACAACAAAGGGAA